UCUUCCAUAGCUCAGUUGGUUAGAGCGUGCGGCUGUUAACCGCAAGGUCGACGGUUCAACCCCGUCUGGGAGAG
rfam:Blastocystis sp. NandII AV274scaffold_87, whole genome shotgun sequence.